GAGUUUNAUCCUGGCUCAGGACGAACGCUGGCGGCAUGCCUAAUACAUGCAAGUCGAACGCACGAAGUUGAAAAGCUUGCUUUUCGACCAAGUGAGUGGCGGACGGGUAAGUAACACGUGGGUAACCUGCCCAUAAGAGGGGGAUAACAUUCGGAAACGGAUGCUAAUACCGCAUAUUUCAAGUGACCGCAUGGUCGCUUGAUGAAAGGUGGCUUCGGCUACCACUUAUGGAUGGACCCGCGGUGCAUUGGUUAGUUGGUGAGGUAAUGGCUCACCAAGACCAUGAUGCAUAGCCGACCUGAGAGGGUGAUCGGCCACACUGGGACUGAGACACGGCCCAGACUCCUACGGGAGGCAGCAGUAGGGAAUCUUCCGCAAUGGACGAAAGUCUGACGGAGCAAUGCCGCGUAAGUGAAGAAGAUUUUCGGAUCGUAAAACUCUGUUGUUAGAGAAGAACAAGGAUGAGAGUAACUGCUCAUCCCCUGACGGUAUCUAACCAGAAAGCCACGGCUAACUACGUGCCAGCAGCCGCGGUAAUACGUAGGUGGCAAGCGUUGUCCGGAUUUAUUGGGCGUAAAGCGAGCGCAGGCGGUUCUUUAAGUCUGAUGUGAAAGCCCCCGGCUCAACCGGGGAGGGUCAUUGGAAACUGGAGAACUUGAGUGCAGAAGAGGAGAGUGGAAUUCCAUGUGUAGCGGUGAAAUGCGUAGAUAUAUGGAGGAACACCAGUGGCGAAGGCGACUCUCUGGUCUGUAACUGACGCUGAGGCUCGAAAGCGUGGGGAGCAAACAGGAUUAGAUAC
rnacentral:rRNA from 1 species